UACAUCCUAGAUGGGAAGCCCAAAACUGUAACCGAGGCGGGGGAGGUUGGAGCCAAAUGGGUGGAGGUGGCAGAAGAUCCCCAGGUCCAGAUGCCUCUCUCAUACCCUUGGAGUGAAGGGAAACCUUAAGAGUGGGUGGAAAGAAGGUUAUCGCUUGGAGGGACACUGGGGCACAAGUGUCGACUAUCCACCAAUCCCUAGUGGACCCCAAACUCAUCAACCCGGAGGCUCCAGUGACAAUUCAACCCUUCAUGUCACAGUCUGUAACCUCGCCUACAGCCAAGUUGCAUGUCCAGUAUAAGGGCUGGUCAGGAAUGUGGACUUUUGCAGUCUAUGACAAUUAUCCCAUCCCCAUGCUGCUGGGGGAAGACUUGGCCAACCAUGUGAAACUAGCCAAGAGGGUGGGAAUAGUUACCCGCAGCCAGGCUAAGCAAGCUUUCACCCCCAUCCCUGUUCCAGAGCCGGCCACCAGGGCCCCGUCUGUGUUACCAGAGACCCAGACAAAGGUGGUGGAACCGGAUCCCCUGCCAACGACUGCAACAGCUGUAGUGGAUCCAAUCCCAGAGACCCAGCCAAAGCCAGUCCCAGAACCGGAACUGGCAACACAACCAGCACCAGAACCGGCAACACAACCAGCACCAGAACCAUUGCCAGCACUGAGUACAGCAUUUGCAAACCCAUCUACAACUCCAACGCCAGGGGGCACCAGCGAGCCUGAACUGGCAGAAGCAGCAGAUAACCCUACCCAAGAGGCUCAGCCGGAGCCUGAAAUACAACAUAGUGCACCAGCGGACAGCAGUUCACAGUCAACGGAAACAGCCCCAGCACCUGCAUCGCUUCCAAAGGGACCAAGCCCAAGUCCACAGUCCAAGGAGGAACUGAUGUCUCCAGCAUCAAGAGAACAGUUCCAGGCUGAGCAGGAAGCAGAUGACAGCCUUCAGAAAGCUUGGGCGGCGGCAUGGAGCACCCCACCGCCUCUCAGCUCUUCUAACCGAUCCCGGUUUGUUGUAGAACAAGGACUUUUAUACAAGGAGACUCUUUCUGGUGGGCACCAGGAAGACUGGCAUCCUCAAAGACAGUUGGUAGUUCCCACUAAGUAUCAGGUAAAGCUCUUGAGCUUAGCCCAUGAUCAUCCUAGUGGCCAUUCUGGGGUGAACAGAACCAAAGACUGGUUGGGGAAGUCCUUCCACUGGGAGGGAAUGGGCAAGGACGUUGCUAAUUAUGUCCGGUUUUGUAAGGUGUGCCAAUGAGUGGGAAAGCCCCAAGACCAGGUUAAAGCCCCUCUCCAGCCACUACCCAUAAUUGAGGUCCCAUUUCAGCAAGUAGCUGUGGAUAUUCUGGGUCCUUUCCCAAAGAAGACACCCAGAGGAAAGCAGUACAUACUAACUUUCAU
rnacentral:lncRNA from 1 species